rnacentral:rRNA from 1 species
GACGAACGCUGGCGGCGUGCCUAACACAUGCAAGUCGAACGGAGAUACGAUUUCGGUUGUAUCUUAGUGGCGAUCGGGUGAGUAACGCGUGAGCAACCUGACCUUUAGAGGGGGAUAACACUUGGAAACAGGUGCUAAUACCGCAUAAGACCACGACCCGACAUCGGGAUGAGGUCAAAGGAGAAAUCCGCUAAAGGAGGGGCUCGCGUCCCAUUAGAUAGAUGGCGGGGUAACGGCCCACCAUGUCGACGAUGGGUAGCCGAGCUGAGAGGGUGAUCGGCCACACUGGAACUGAGACACGGUCCAGACUCCUACGGGAGGCAGCAGUGGGGAAUAUUGGGCAAUGGGCGCAAGCCUGACUCAGCAACGCCGCGUGAGGGAAGAAGGCCUUCGGGUUGUAAACCUCUGUCCUUGGUGACGAAACAAAUGACGGUAGCCAAGGAGGAAGCCCCGGCUAACUACGUGCCAGCCGCCGCCGUAAAAC